UGGUAUGAUUGAUAUUGGGUU
rnacentral:miRNA from 1 species